rnacentral:lncRNA from 10 species
UCUCACUUCAGCCAGAGAGCGGGGUUAGGGCUUCAUUGCCUUGUGUCCUCUGCUCCGGGAGACUUCGGUGAUUCUGCCACUCCCUCCGUCGCUCUGUGACCUGCUGGCAUUGAAUGAUUUAUAGCUAAGACUCCAGGACACCCCUGAAGCCGAGAAAUGAAAUCCCAAGUUGACCGUCAAGUCCAACGCUCGCUGCAGACAUCUAGUGGACCCGGCGCUCGCGGACGGAAGCGGACAGACCUAGUUGGAUCCUUAUCCCACCAAUCUGGCCCACCUUUGCUGCCAUCUAACUCCGCUGACCGGCCCACCGUUCCUCCACUGUUCGCUGGUUGACCCGGGCAGCGGAGAGAGGAGGUAAGGCACAAGGGCAGUGACUGGCUCAUGUCCCAUUCCCGCGCACCUGGGGUGGGGAGUCCCACGGCAGGCGGCACCAACAGAAGGCUUCUGCAAAGCUGAGAGCUCCUUUUACCCAUGGAUCAGGAGCAGAGUUUGCAGCUACACUGUCAGGCUGUGUUUGGAUGUUAGCAGUUAGUUUAGCUUUGCGUCUUCAGAGCAAUUGUUCUUAGCUACUUAAAAAAAGAAAAGAAAAGAAAGGAAAAUUUAAAAUUUUCUUCAUUGAUCAUUCAGGAGCAUGUUUAAUUUCCAUGUAUUUGUACAAUUUCAAAAGUUCACCUUGUUGUUGACUUCUAGUUUUAUUCCAUUGUGGUCAGGAAAGAUACUCGAUAUAAUUUCAAUUAUUUU